AUGUACGAUGCGUACGCUUCGGUUUCUCCGCGCCGUCCGCACCCACCUGAGGACUGCUCGCUACGUUUUGUUAGCC
rnacentral:sRNA from 1 species